rnacentral:rRNA from 1 species
UACGGGGGGGACUAGCGUUGUUCGGAAUUACUGGGCGUAAAGCGCGCGUAGGCGGCUUUGCAAGUCGGGUGUGAAAUCCCCAGGCUUAACCUGGGAACUGCAUUCGAGACUGCAUUGCUAGAGUAUGGGAGAGGGAAGUGGAAUUUCCGGUGUAGCGGUGAAAUGCGUAGAUAUCGGAAGGAACAUCAGUGGCGAAAGCGACUUCCUGGACCAAUACUGACGCUCAUGUGCGAAAGCGUGGGGAGCAAACAGG